rnacentral:rRNA from 1 species
ACUCCUACGGGAGGCAGCAGUGGGAAUAUUGGACAAUGGGCGCAAGCCUGAUCCAGCCAUGCCGCGUGAGUGAUGAAGGCCUUAGGGUUGUAAAGCUCUUUUGNCCGGGACGAUAAUGACGGUACCGGAAGAAUAAGCCCGCUAGCUUACUGUGCCAGCAGCCGCGGUAAUACGAAGGGGCGGUAGCGUUGCUCGGAAUCACUGGGCGUAAAGGGCGCGUAGGCGGCCUUGUAAGUUGGGGUGAAAGCCGUGGCUCAACCACGGAAUUGCCUUCGAUACUGCUUGGCUUGA